ensembl:lncRNA
UAAACAAAUACAACAUGGAAACAUCUCAGGGAAGAAAACGGGACAUUUUGUUGUUUCCAUUCUGUAAGAAGACCUCCAGCAGACUCCGCCCCUUUUCCGAGGUCCACGUCCCCCCAGCUGACUAAUGUCCCCCGUCCAUCCGUCCUUCACAGGUUAUCUGCUAGUGACACGUGGGCUUUAUGCUACGCUAACGAGGAGCUAACAGUCCUCCAAGGGAACAACGGGACGCUUUAACAGGCUCAGCAGAGCUCCGACACUAUUUCAAGUCCCAUCUGGUACAAAUUGCUCCUGGCAAGUGCUGGUUGGGUCUAUUUUUACCAGCACUGUAACCCCCCACAGCCCCCCCCCUCCAGAUGGCUUUCUUGUGGCCAAACAUCAUAGAAUGUUCUGUGAAAUGUUCCAUUUGUACAGAGCGUGUUGGAGAAACUGCUGGAGAUUUUCCAAUUUCUUGGCCACAUCAAUCAGAGAUAUUUAUUUUACGGGGCAGCCGGUGCUUUUAUGGAUCCAUAAUUCCCUCUUUCAUUUCAUGUGAAACACGCUGCCGCAAUAUUCCUGAAAGCUUUGGAGAAGCUCAAUAUUUGAUUUCUGUGCAAAAUGGUUUGAAACAAGAUGAAAGUCUAAACGUUCCUGAGAAGAACAUUGAAGAUUAAGAACUUUAAGUACUGUUGAGAACAUGCAGCGUCCAGCUGUGUCCUGUUGAGCCUCCCAGGACAGACUGAGGGUCUCCAGGACCCUCUGGAGCGCCAGGUACUCAUACGGCCCGAGGAGGAUCAUGUUGGCCAUGAAACCCUUUUGUUUGUAACAAUCCGGUCUGAUCUGUUCGGGCCGACUGGCCUCAUUUGUUUGGUUUAAUAAAGUCCUGCUUUUCUUGGAUCAGAUAUGUGGAGGAUCAAAUUCCUGUCCAAUCACGUCACACGCGUGUGGAACGUCUGAAUGACGCAAACCUGCGUGGUUAUGAGGUCAGACAGGUGGAUUCUUCACACCCUCAUAUGUUGUUUCAGUUUGGGAAUCACACACACAUACACACACUUUCUCAUCAGAACUAUAAAUAACAGGUAAGUAAAUUGAUAACUGUAUUUAUUGAUUGGUGUUGGAUUCAUGGUAUCGGUGCAUCCAGGGGGGAAGUUCUGUGAAGGGGGGGUCACACAAACACAGGACCUUCACCCUGGAGACAAAACGCUGGAGUCCGUGAGAGAAGCAAACACUGACUUCACACUCAUGAGAGAUCGUCUUUGCUACAUUGUUAUUAACAGGGUCACCGCCCGGGCCGCACGGCCAUGAUGCAAACCGGGCGGGCGAGAGAGAGAGAGAAAGGGGGAGAGAGAGAGGGGGAGAGAAAGAGAGAGAGAGAGAGAGAGGGGGGAGAGAGAGAGAGAGGGCGAGAGAGAGAGCGCACCUGGAACCAGCGGCCCUUUUAUCGGCGUGCAGAUCGGAUUACCUCAGGUGUGCCCACUCCCCUGGCGAGCCUCUGCCCCGCCCACCUGCAGGUACGCCAGCCAGAGACACAACACAAACAACAUUCCUGUUUUAUAUAAUACGAACAAAAACCCUCCUCAGUGACGCCGCAUGUACCAAAACACCUGCUUACUGUAAAACUACCACAGAUUGUUGCCAAUUGUAAUAGCAUCAGGAGCCCUCCAUGACGUCCCCCUUUGUCCUUACGCUUGCAUGGUAUUGAAUGGGUCAUAAAGUCCAUCAACGGACAGUCCGGUUGGUUGCAGCUGCAAUGAGCUUAUAUAGUCACACUCCCAGAAUGCACUGGGGCGUUGGAAGCAGCUCCAACUGUGUUGGCUGGUUCUACUUCCAAACCCCAUGACCAAGGUCUUACUCAUUGAUGAAGUGCCGUGGCCCUGCUGACACCUGCUGCUGCCAUCCUCCCCACCACGAUUAUUAUUUUAACUAUUAAUCGUAUUACUGUCAUCAUAAACCAACGUUACCCUUUGCUAAAGUGCCACAGGCUUCUGUGGAUGGAGGUUCUAUCUGAUGUGGUUCUAUGUGAUGGAGGUUCCAUCUGAUGGUGGUUCUAUGUGAUGGAGGUUCCAUCUGAUGGUGGUUCUAUCUGGUGGUGGUUCUAUGUGAUGGUGGUUCCAUCUGAUGGUGGUUCUAUGUGAUGGUGGUUCUAUGUGAUGGAGGUUCUACCUGAUGGUGGUUCUAUGUGAUGGUGGUUGUCCCUGCAGUGGUCCUGCCGUACACCUGCAUACUCUCAUUUGAAUCAUCUCUGUUAUAGGUAAUAUCUUACCAUGAUGUGGUGAUGUCACAUGAACCAAUCAGCUGCUGUGCAAUCUCUCAGACCAGGACAGGAGGCGGGGCUUCUGGGAAAUGUUCUAAGGCUGCUCCGUCUCUCCUCCAUGCUGACCCUCGAUUCUGAGGGGGCAGAAUACCCUCCUUCUCCUCCUCUUCCUCUUCCUCUCCUUCAUGCUCCUCCUCCUCCUCCUCCUCCUCCUUCUCCUCCUUAAUCCCUGGUUCAUCCCCAUCUGACCCUGAAUUUAUUCAGUGCGAU